CCGCCCGCAUGGGAUUUAUGUGCCGCACGAAAAUUUUUCAUUAUUCAUUAUUUUUGAAAAAUAGGCUUAAAAAACACCAAAUUCAUCUCCAGAUCAAAGUCUUAUUGCUGUAUUCCGCAAGCGCAACUCAAAUUCUAUCUUUCUAAAGAUAUUACUCGCCAGAAUGCCUCUAUUUUUCAUGUCAGCCCUGGUAUGUAAAGAAAUAUACUGUAUAGUCUGUAGACUGUAGUGUAGGACGUAUUAAAUUAAAAUGAAUUAUGCACCAAUUUUUAAUACUUCAGAUUUUUAUGGGGUUUUUUUACUGGGUCAAGGAAAUUAUUGACAAGCAGAAUUCAAAUACAAAAAAUAAUGAAAAAAUCCCGCUCCAAAUUUUUGAAAAUUGUGGACGAGAAACAUGAUAUCAAUUUUCAUUGGCCCUAU